rnacentral:rRNA from 1 species
GAUGAACGCUGGCGGCGUGCCUAAUACAUGCAAGUCGAGCGAACAGACGAGGAGCUUGCUCCUCUGACGUUAGCGGCGGACGGGUGAGUAACACGUGGAUAACCUACCUAUAAGACUGGGAUAACUUCGGGAAACCGGAGCUAAUACCGGAUAAUAUAUUGAACCGCAUGGUUCAAUAGUGAAAGACGGUUUUGCUGUCACUUAUAGAUGGAUCCGCGCCGCAUUAGCUAGUUGGUAAGGUAACGGCUUACCAAGGCAACGAUGCGUAGCCGACCUGAGAGGGUGAUCGGCCACACUGGAACUGAGACACGGUCCAGACUCCUACGGGAGGCAGCAGUAGGGAAUCUUCCGCAAUGGGCGAGAGCCUGACGGAGCAACGCCGCGUGAGUGAUGAAGGUCUUCGGAUCGUAAAACUCUGUUAUUAGGGAAGAACAAAUGUGUAAGUAACUACGCACGUCUUGACGGUACCUAAUCAGAAAGCCACGGCUAACUACGUG